rnacentral:rRNA from 1 species
AUUGAACGCUGGCGGCAUGCCUUACACAUGCAAGUCGAACGGCAGCGCGGGAGCAAUCCUGGCGGCGAGUGGCGAACGGGUGAGUAAUAUAUCGGAACGUGCCCAGUAGUGGGGGAUAGCCCGGCGAAAGCCGGAUUAAUACCGCAUGAGACCUGAGGGUGAAAGCGGGGGAUCGCAAGACCUCGCGCUACUGGAGCGGCCGAUAUCAGAUUAGCUAGUUGGUGGGGUAAAGGCCUACCAAGGCAACGAUCUGUAGUUGGUCUGAGAGGACGACCAGCCACACUGGGACUGAGACACGGCCCAGACUCCUACGGGAGGCAGCAGUGGGGGAAUUUUGGACAAUGGGCGCAAGCCUGAUCCAGCAAUGCCGCGUGCAGGAAGAAGGCC